rnacentral:rRNA from 1 species
AACGAACGCUGGCGGCAGGCCUAAAACAUGCAAGUCGAGCGCCCUAGCAAUAGGGAGUGGCGCACGGGUGAGUAACGCGUGGGAACGUGCCCUUCAGUACGGAACAACGUCGGGAAACUGACGCUAAUACCGUAUAAUAUCUCCGGAUCAAAGAUUUAUCGCUGAAGGAUCGGCCCUCGUCUGAUUAGCUAGUUGGUGAGGUAAUGGCUCACCAAGGCGAUGAUCAGCAGCUGGUCUGAGAGGAUGAUCAGCCACACUGGGACUGAGACACGGCCCAGACUCCUACGGGAGGCAGCAGUUCGGAAUAUUGGACAAUGGGCGAAAGCCUGAUCCAGCCAUGCCGCGUGUGUGAUGAAGGCCUUAGGGUUGUAAAGCACUUUCGUUGGGGAUGAUAAUGACCGUACCCAAAGAAGAAGCCACGGCUAAAUUCGUGCCAGCAGCCGCAGUAA